rnacentral:tRNA from 1 species
AAGGGUAUAGUUCAGUGGCAGAGCACAUGCUUAGCAUGCACAAGGUCCUGGGUUCAAUCCUCAGUACCUCCA